rnacentral:ncRNA from 1 species
AGUGGUCUAGUGAGAAUUUUGUUGAUACCACUUGUAACAAUUUAAUACUUGUUGAGGGUCUUGUAAAAGAUUAAAUAUCUAAGAUUGAAUUUAUGAAAUAGGCAAUGUGUAUUUACCUUGUUAUUUAAUUGAAUGUAAAAGACAGGUUCCAGAAUAAUCGGUUAUACUUGUUAUUUGUAUGAUCUAAUUGAUAAAGUUAAAGCAGGUUAAAAAAUUGUUUUAAAGUUAGCGAGUGGAAUGAGAAAAUUUUUGUUGUUAGGGAGUAGCUUUAAUUAAAAUAUUGAUAAACUAAUCGGGCUAGACACCGAGUAGUCAAAACUAAAAAGUGCAGGAGUAGAGUGAGGAAGAAACUGAAGGUACUUUGGCAGGUGUUUAAUUUUUCUUCGGGGGCUGGAACGUAAGCGAAAUUCCACGUUAGUAGCUGAUAUUUUAGACUCAUGUAUGAUCGUUUAUGUUAAUUUUGAGAAUUAACAGAGUUACUUAAUAAAGUGUAAAAGCAGAUAUAUACGUGGUAUAUGUAGUCAGAUUUUUCUGGGCCACAGUGGGUUAGUCCAAGUGUAGCAAGUAGUGACAUUUUGUGAAAAUUGUAGAAGAAAGUAAAAUUUAUCUUUAUAGUUAGUUUGAAUUUUAUUUGAAUGCGGUACAAAUUAUCCAUCAAUUGUCCAUAGGAGAGUAAGUUGUAGUAGAGUAGAGUUAGAGGAAUCUGAUUCUAGAGCCCAUAUUUCUUAACAGGAGGAGGGA